AGUGGGGAAUAUUGGACAAUGGGGGCAACCCUGAUCCAGCCAUGCCGCGUGAGUGAUGAAGGCCUUAGGGUUGUAAAGCUCUUUCACCGGUGAAGAUAAUGACGGUAACCGGAGAAGAAGCCCCGGCUAACUUCGUGCCAGCAGCCGCGGUAAUACGAAGGGGGCUAGCGUUGUUCGGAUUUACUGGGCGUAAAGCGCACGUAGGCGGACCAUUAAGUCAGGGGUGAAAUCCCGGAGCUCAACUCCGGAACUGCCUUUGAUACUGGUGGUCUAGAGACCGAGAGAGGUAAGUGGAACUCCUAGUGUAGAGGUGGAAUUCGUAGAUAUUAGGAAGAACACCAGUGGCGAAGGCGGCUUACUGGCUCGGAACUGACGCUGAGGUGCGAAAGCGUGGGGAGCAAA
rnacentral:rRNA from 1 species